AACGUAGGAGACAAACGUUAUCCGGAGUUACUGGGCGUAAAGGGCGUGCAGGUGGUCUGUUAAGUCUGGCGUGAAAGCUCCUGGCUAAACCGGGAGAGGUCGUUGGAUACUGGCGGACUAGAGGACGGUAGAGGCGUGUGGAAUUCCGGGUGUAGUGGUGAAAUGCGUAGAGAUCCGGAGGAACACCAGUGGCGAAGGCGACACGCUGGGCCGUAUCUGACACUGAUACGCGACAGCAUGGGGAGCGAACGGG
rnacentral:rRNA from 1 species